GCAGCACAGUGGUGCAGUAGUUAGCACUGUCGCCUCACAGCAAGAAGGUCGUGGGUUCGAUCCCGGCCUGGGGCC